GGCCUCGUCACAUGCCUGCUGGAGAUGGCCUUUGCUGGAAAUUGCGGGCUACAGGUGGAUGUGCCUGUCCCCGGGGUUGAUGUCCUGUCUGUGCUGUUCGCUGAGGAGCCAGGCCUCGUGUUGGAGGUGCAGGAGCCAGACCUGGCCCAGGUGCUGAAGCGUUACCGGGACGCUGGCCUCCAUUGCCUGGAGCUGGGCCACACAGGCGAGGCUGGGCCCCACGCCAUGGUGAGGAAGUGAGGGAGAGAGCGGUGUGCAGUGGGCAGUCAGAGUGGGGUGGCCGCGGUCCAUCCCUCUCCCACUGUGGAGGGGGCCAUCCUUUCUCCUAGCCCGUGGGAGAUUUGUUCCUCUUCCUAGGUCCGUGUGUCAGUGAACAGGGCUGUGGUUCUGGAGGAGCCUGUUGGGGAGCUGCGAGCCCUCUGGGAGGAGACGAGUUUCCAGCUGGACCGGCUACAGGCAGAGCCUCGCUGUGUGGCAGAGGAGGAACGGGGCCUGAGGGAGCGGAUGGGGCCCAGCUAUUGCCUGCCCCCCACCUUUCCCAAAGCCUCCGUGCCCCGUG
rnacentral:sRNA from 1 species